AAGUUCUGCCCGCCCUCCAGGACAUAAACUCUGAAGCCCCCAAGCCGAAGCCCCGUGUGGAUCUGGCCCCGCCUGGCUCCAGGACAUAGGAUUCCAGAGGAGAAGAAUCUGAGGGUGGUGUUUUCAAAAGGAAACCCUCCCUGGAGGCUAAUAAGAGAGGGUUUCCUGUAGGAUGAGGAAGAGAGACACUCAAGUGCCAAAGAACCAGGCAGCCACUUGCCUGCCAAAGGGCACAGGUGCUCCAGGGCCAACAAAGAUGAGGAUGUCGUGUGCUCACAGCAUAACCCCUUUACCUCCCCAACUGUUCCCCAUUGAGCUCCUAUCAGCACUUCUAGUUCCUUGGCUGGGGGACACCUUGAUUUCUCCAUCCACAACCACAGAUAACACCUCUGGACCCCGGUGUGGGAAUCUCGAUUCCCAGGUAGGUCACACCCUUCCACUUCACCCUGACCUCUCCAGACCUGUGUCCCUCUGCCUAAUUUGGGGGAAUAUAUUUUUAAAAACUAGACACUGGCAAAUGGAUUUGGAACAAGAGGCAUAGAUCAAGGGAGAACAGACGGUAAUGGAGUGAGUCCUAGCUUGUGUUCAAAUUAAAGCUAAGUUUAAUUCAGAAGCAUUCGGGAAAGUAUCCAAGCUGAUUUUUUCCGAUAGUCUCCUGUUCCCUAAGCUGCAUUCUUGCACAGGACUUCACAUUCACGACAGGGAUACUUUGGACCCAAGACACGGAGGGUACUCUGUGCUCUCCACUGCUCUCACUGCCUCACAGUGCCUCCAUGGACGUCUCCCUGGGCAGGCCGAGGAGGGGAGCCGAGCACGGCCCUGGCGUCAGCCAGAGAAAGUCACUGACACUGGGAGUGGAGGUCAUGAAAAGAAAACAGUCACGGGCUUUGUUUUCCAGAAGCCUCUGGCUGGCACUGCACUCACAGCGCAAACACUGUCCACGUUGGUGCCUUAGACAGACUUCCUGUUGUAUCCUUUCCCUGCCUGCUUCCAGAAAACAGCUUCGCUUGUCUUUUAUCUGCACUUCCUCCUCCCAGCUCACACCCACUCCUUGUUCUUAAAGGUGCCUGCUGGCUCUGUGGAUCUAAGGAAUUUGAUCUACAAGUCUUGCACCUGGCAGGCCUUUGGACUUGGGCAGCAUCCAGGGCCGAUGACAGGUCAAGCUGGUUCAGAGGCCCACAGCCUCCUGCUGGCCCUGCUACCUGCCAGAACCCCAAGGAGCAGACCGUGCCCUGCCCUUGCCCCAUUUCGUGGUUCAGCAGGGCACCCAGCUCUCCGCAGGCUGCUGCCCACUCUGGACACAGCAGGCCGGUCAGCACGUUCUAGGUCCUUUCUCAUUACCAGCAGGAACCUGGCAGUGUUGCUGUUUCUUCCAGGUGACACCUCCUACUGAAAGUAUGUCCAGUAGGAAGUAGUGGGGCAGCUAGGCUGCGGCGAGAUUACAAUCGAAUAUGCAUACAUUUAGGAUUGGAACUUAAACAAAGCCACAUCGUUAGUCAGGAUUAGAUUCAAUUAGGAAUCUCAGAACAAUCUGGAAAUGGCUUAAAUAAAAAUACCAACUACUUUCUUGCA
ensembl:lncRNA